rnacentral:rRNA from 1 species
GGCAUGUGCACGCUUCUUGUUUUUCUCUCAACUCACCCGUGCACCUAAUGUAGGAUGCCUCUCCUCCGGGAGGGGGGACCUAUGUCUUCGUAUACAUCUUCGUGUAGAAAGUCUUUGAAUGUUUACUAUCAUCGAGUCGCGACUUCUAGGAGACGCGAUUCUUUGAGAUAAAAGUUAUUACAACUUUCAGCAACGGAUCUCUUGGCUCUCGCAUCGAUGAAGAACGCAGCGAAAAGCGAUAUGUAAUGUGAAUUGCAGAUCUACAGUGAAUCAUCGAAUCUUUGAACGCACCUUGCGCUCCUCGGUGUUCCGAGGAGCAUGCCUGUUUGAGUGUCAGUAAAUUCUCAACCCCUCUCGAUUAGCUUCGAGAGGGUGCUUGGAUAGUGGAGGUUGUCGGAGACUCGGAUUCGUCCAAGACUCGGACUCUUCUGAAAUGCAUCGGCUUGCGGUCGACUUUCGACUAUGUGCGACAAGGCUUUCGGCGUGAUAAUGAUCGCCGUUCGCUGAAGCGCAUGACCGAAGGU